rnacentral:rRNA from 1 species
GACAAACGCUGGCGGCGUACCUAAGACAUGCAAGUCGAACGGGGACUUCGUCUUCGGAUGGAGUUCGAGUGGCGAACGGGUGAGUAACACGUAGGAACCUGCCGCGUCGAGGGGGAUAACAGUCGGAAACGGCUGCUAAUACCGCAUGUGGUCAUCUUGAAAGAGAUGAAGAAAGCAGCAAUGCGCGACGUGAGGGGCCUGCGGCCGAUUAGCUUGUUGGUGAGGUAAAGGCUCACCAAGGCGACGAUCGGUAGCUGGUCUGAGAGGAUGGUCAGCC